AUAUGUGAGCCUGAGUAAUGUGAUAGUGAUCAGCUUCUAUUAUUCAGGACAUUUUAUGACCGAUAGUUAAAGCUUCGGUUAACUGUAUGUACACUGCCGACUUUUUUUUCUUUUUUUUUUUAACUAUGCUUAUUAGUUGUCAUUUGUUGUGCUAUGAUAUGAUUGCACUUCCCACAUGUGGUAUGAACCUACAUGUGUCUUUAUAUCUGUUCCCAUGACUGUUCUGUAUAUAUUUCACAUGCAUACUAGUAAUACCCAGUUGAGUUUAGCGUUACCUUGUAUAAUUACGGUUCUUUUCAAUUAUUUAAUUAGCGCUGUUCUCAGUAACCGCCAGUGGCAUAGUUCUAGCUUGCCUUGUCAGUCGGUUCCUCUGGGAACACGCCUUCCUUUUCAGGCAGGGGGAGGAUGUAGUAGGAGCCCACCAAAUCCAAACAUCAUGAUUGUCAUCUCUGACCGACCCAGACGGGUCACAGCCACGCCGUCAUACGCCCGAGAUCCCAUUCGGGCCUCUUGAAGCUCGAGUACCGCGACCACAGCAUCAUCGCCUAGACCGCUGGAUAAAAGCAUCCAUUUCACUAAUAAAGAACCAGGACCCUUUUCCAACUACAACGACGUCAGGAUCCAGCUCAAAUGGCAUUCAAGAAUUCUCAGGAGCAACGCCUACAUGUAUUGUAGCAGGUGGAGAAUCAGAUUCUGAAGGGUCCAUUAGUGUGGAAAUUGUAAAACCUUCUAAGAGGAACAAGAAGGAAACAAAUGCCAAGUCUGUUGCAAAAAAGAGAAAGGUCACUGUGGCAAAGAAUGUGCAGAUGGUCACUUUAUAGUUGAGAAGAUCUUGAAGGAUAGGAUGAAGAAUGGGGUCAGGGAGGGACUCAUCAGUUGGGAUGGCUAUGAUUCGACGCACAACACGUGGGAGCCUAUGAAGGAAUUACCAAAAGACAUUGUUACAGACUAUUAUCAGAAUAAGAAGAAACAUUAGAUAGUUGUAGUACAUGACAUACAAUGAUGUCCAGUCAUUUUCAGAUUUUGAGUGGCCAUGGACAUAAGGCCAAAUUUCAAUGAAAAAAACUACAUUGAAAUCUAAAUGCUGAAAUGGUGCAAAAAGAAAUUUCUGAAUAUGACAUGAACAUAAUCAGAGUUUGAACGACUACCACUGCUCUGUACAAAUCAUACAAAUAUCCAAUUCACAAUUAAAUCGACAAAAACUGGGUCAAGACUAGUAACU